rnacentral:rRNA from 1 species
GUAGGUCACGAACGUUAUUCGGAAUCACUGGGCUUAAAGGGCGCGUAGGCGGCUUAAUAAGUUACGACUGAAAUCCGGCGGCUCACCCGUCGAACUGGCCGUAAUACUGUUGAGCUGGAGGUGCGGAGGGAUGCGUGGAACUUGUGGUGGAGCGGUGAAAUGCCCAGAUAUCACAGGGAACACCGGUGGCGAAGGCGACGCAUUGGCCGCAAUCUGACGCUGAGGCGCGAAAGCAUGGGGAGCGAACGGGAUUAGAUACCCCGGUAGUCCAUGCCGUAAACGAUGUGCACUAGGGAGAGGGCGGGUCCUAACUCGCUCCCUCCCCAAGCAAAAGCGUUAAGUGCACCGCCUGGGGAGUAUGCUCGCAAGGGUA